GCACUAGUGGUUCAGUGGUAGACUUCUUGCUUUGCAUGCAGGAGAUCUGGGUUCAGUUCCCAGCCAAUGAA
rnacentral:tRNA from 1 species